GCCUGGGUGGCUCAGUCGGUUGGGCGUCUGACUUCAGCUCAGGUCAUGAUCUCACGGUUUGUGGGUUUGAGCCCCGUGUCGGGCU
rnacentral:tRNA from 1 species